GGGAUAGUACUUUAAAUAAAAAGAUUUGAUUUGCAAUUAAACAAUAGGAUACUUUUACCUCUAUCCCA
rnacentral:tRNA from 1 species